rnacentral:rRNA from 1 species
CCAAUAGCGUAUAUUAAAGUUGUUGCAGUUAAAAAGCUCGUAGUUGAAUUUCGGGGUCAGUAGAUUGGUCUUGCCACUGGUAUGUACUGGUCUCACUGGUUCCUCCUUCCUGAUGAACCGUAAUGCCAUUAAUUUGUUGUUGCGGGGAGACUGGACUGUUACUUUGAAAAAAUUAGAGUGUUUAAAGCAGGCUAACGCUUGAAUACAUUAGCAUGGAAUAAUGAAAUAUGACGUUCGAUCUUAUUUUGUUGGUUUCUAAGAUUGACGUAAUGAUUGAUAGGGAUAGUUGGGGGCAUUAGUAUUCAAUUGUCAGAGGUGAAAUUCUUGGAUUUAUUGAAGACUAACUACUGCGAAAGCAGUUGCCAAGGAUGUUUUCAUUAAUCAAGAAAGAAAGUUAGGGGAUCGAAGACGAUCAGAUACCGUCGUAGUCUUAACCAUAAACUAUGCCGACUAGGGAUCGGAUGAUGUUAAUUUUUUAAUGACUCAUUCGGCGCCUUACG